rnacentral:rRNA from 1 species
UACAGAGGGGGCAAGCGUUAUUCGGAAUUACUGGGCGUAAAGGGCUCGUAGGCGGCCAACUAAGUCAGACGUGAAAUCCCUCGGCUUAACCGGGGAACUGCGUCUGAUACUGGAUGGCUUGAGAUUGGGAGAGGGAUGCGGAAUUCCAGGUGUAGCGGUGAAAUGCGUAGAUAUCUGGAGGAACACCGGUGGCGAAGGCGGCAUCCUGGACCAACACUGACGCUGAGGAGCGAAAGCCAGGGGAGCAAACGGG